rnacentral:rRNA from 1 species
ACUAGAAUGAACGGUUAUAUGAGGACUAAACUGUCUCUUACAUUCAGCCAAUAAACCUGAUCUUUCAGNCCAAAAGCUGAAAUUCUUCCAUAAGACGAGAAGACCCUGUGGAGCUUCCAAACCAAGCUCACCCUACCACCAUGACACCUUGGUUUUUAGUUGGGGCGACUGUGGAGUAAAAAAACCCUCCACUCAUGGAAUCAAACUUCUAGAUAUACACAUCAACAACUCCUCCUGACCCAGUAGUUCACCUAACCAAACUAUCUGACCAAAGAACCAAGUUACCCCAGGGAUAACAGCGCCAUCCUCUUCUAGAGUCCCUAUCGACAAGAGGGUUUACGACCUCGAUGUUGGAUCAGGACACCCAUAUAGUGCAGCCGCUAUAAAAG